rnacentral:rRNA from 1 species
AUACGAAGGGUGCAAGCGUUACUCGGAAUUACUGGGCGUAAAGCGUGCGUAGGUGGUUUGUUAAGUCUGAUGUGAAAGCCCUGGGCUCAACCUGGGAAUUGCAUUGGAUACUGGCAGGCUAGAGUGCGGUAGAGGGUAGUGGAAUUCCCGGUGUAGCAGUGAAAUGCGUAGAGAUCGGGAGGAACAUCUGUGGCGAAGGCGACUACCUGGACCAGCACUGACACUGAGGCACGAAAGCGUGGGGAGC